rnacentral:rRNA from 1 species
AUUGAACGCUGGCGGCAUGCCUUACACAUGCAAGUCGAACGGCAGCACGGGAGCAAUCCUGGUGGCGAGUGGCGAACGGGUGAGUAAAGUAUCGGAACGUGCCCAGUCGUGGGGGAUAACGUAGCGAAAGUUACGCUAAUACCGCAUACGAUCUAUGGAUGAAAGCGGGGGAUCGCAAGACCUCGCGCGAUUGGAGCGGCCGAUAUCAGAUUAGGUAGUUGGUGGGGUAAAGGCUCACCAAGCCGACGAUCCGUAGCUGGUCUGAGAGGACGACCAGCCACACUGGGACUGAGACACAGCCCAGACUCCUACGGGAGGCAGCAGUGGGGAAUUUUGGACAAUGGGCGCAAGCCUGAUCCAGCCAUGCCGCGUGCAGGAUGAAGGCCUUCGGGUUGUAAACUGCUUUUGUACGGAACGAAAAGGUUUGGCUUAAUACGUUGAACUCAUGACGGUACCGUAAGAAUAAGCACCGGCUAACUACGUGCCAGCAGCCGCCGUAA